GUACUGGAGUGGGUUGCCAUUGGCUUCUCCACCCUUCGGCAGCACAUACACUAAAAUUGGAACCAUACAGAGAAGAUUAACAUAGCCCUGUGCAAGGAUAACAUGCAAAUUCAUGAAGCAUUCCAUAUUUUU
ensembl:snRNA U6 U6 spliceosomal RNA